CCUACGGGAGGCAGCAGUGAGGAAUAUUGGUCAAUGGGCGCGAGCCCGAACCAGCCAAGUCGCGUGAGGGCGGACGGCCCUCCGGGUUGUAAACCUCUUUUGACGGGGAGCAACGGGCGUCACGUGUGGCGCCACUGAGAGUACCCGUAGAAAAAUCAUCGGCUAACUCCGUGCCAGCAGCCGCGGUCAUACGGAGGAUGCGAGCGGUAUCCGGAUUUAUUUGGUUUAAAGGGUGCGUAGGCGGAUCGUUACGUCAGUGGUCAAAUUGAGGGGCUCAACCCCUUCCCGCCAUUGAAACUGGCGUUCGUGAGUGGAAGAGAAGUAUGCGGAAUGCGUGGUGUAGCGGUGAAAGGCAUAGAUAUCACGCAGAACCCCGAUUGCGAAGGCAGCAUGCCGGCUUCCGACUGACGCUGAAGCACGAAAGCGUGGGGAUCGAACAGGAUUAGAUACCCGUGUAGUC
rnacentral:rRNA from 1 species